UACGGGGGGAGCAAGCGUUAAUCGGAAUUACUGGGCGUAAAGCGUGCGCAGGCGGUUUUGUAAGCCAGAUGUGAAAGCCCCGGGCUUAACCUGGGAAUGGCAUUUGGGACUGCAAGGCUUGAGUGCGGCAGAGGAGACUGGAAUUCCUGGUGUAGCAGUGAAAUGCGUAGAUAUCAGGAGGAAUACCGAUGGCGAAGGCAGGUCUCUGGGCUGACACUGACGCUCAUACACGAAAGCGUGGGGAGCAAACAGG
rnacentral:rRNA from 1 species